GCGGCGAGUGAAGCGGCAAAAGCUCAAAUUUGAAAUCUGGCUCUUUCAGAGUCCGAGUUGUAAUUUGAAGAAGGUAUCUUUGGGUCUGGCUCUUGUCUAUGUUUCUUGGAACAGAACGUCACAGAGGGUGAGAAUCCCGUGCGAUGAGAUGAUCCAGGCCUAUGUAAAGUUCCUUCGAAGAGUCGAGUUGUUUGGGAAUGCAGCUCUAAGUGGGUGGUAAAUUCCAUCUAAAGCUAAAUAUUGGCGAGAGACCGAUAGCGAACAAGUACAGUGAUGGAAAGAUGAAAAGAACUUUGAAAAGAGAGUGAAAAAGUACGUGAAAUUGUUGAAAGGGAAGGGCUUGAGAUCAGACUUGGUAUUUUGUAUGUUACUUCUUCGGGGGUGGCCUCUACAGUUUAUCGGGCCAGCAUCAGUUUGGGCGGUAGGAGAAUUGCGUUGGAAUGUGGCACGGCUUCGGUUGUGUGUUAUAGCCUUCGUCGAUACUGCCAGCCUAGACUGAGGACUGCGGUUUAUACCUA
rnacentral:rRNA from 1 species